AACAUUUUUAUGAAAACAGGUUGCAUAGCUGGCGUGUUCUAAAACCAUUCCUUGGUUCAUCCCUAGGAGAGAAUUUAGCAAUUCUCCCCGUGUGCUCCUGCUGUUUAUCUUUUGCUAAACAGAGGAAAGCAGAUUAUGGCUUUUAAGAGCUAAGCUCUGGCUUUUCUGCAGGUCUGUGUGAGGAGGGACAUGUUGCUUUGGUGCCUUGAAUGCAAAAAUGCUUAGCUUAGGAGCAUGUCUAAAUAGGCUUAAUACAAAACUUCAAGAGUCAUACAGGUAGCUAUUUUAGUUCAGUUUAAGUUUGCCAAAAUAACACAUACAAACCAGAAUGAAAAAUGGCCAUGCAGCUCUUUGUACUUAAAUGCAUUGGUUUAAUUUAGGUUACUGCAACCUCUUUUUUAAUGCAAGCAAAGUCUGAGUUAAAUGCUUUUAUCAGGUGGAGAAGGGAGAUUGUCAUUAUCAGUGUACCUUGCAAGAGGUAUGGCUGACUUUAUCAGUAAGGGAAGGACUGGGGAUUAGAAGGUCCAGAGGGGCUGUGCUGAACAAUUGUUUUCUGUAACUGAAGAGGGGGUAAACCCAGACUGAUUUUUGUCUGGAUGGACUUGGAACAUUGUACAGCGAAAGGCUACAAUUAGCAAUUUAACACUCAUUAAUUGGAAGGUGUUCACAAGAACUGCCUUCUCAAAAUUAACUCUGAAGUAAUGAGAAGUCUACAACUUUGCAUUCAUUCAUUCACUACUGGAAUUCAUAUUACAGAUCACUAUUGUGUAAAAGCAUUUCUCCGAGAAGUCAGUAGACCAUUCUCCUGAAAUAAUUAUUCACUACCAGUUCAAAAACAAGUUCGUGUGUGAGAUAUUGCACCAGCUAAUAUUAGGAUAAACUGGAGUAACGAAAGCCACAGGGCUCUGCACACUAAGGAGCUUUCGCAAUACUUAGCACAGGUAACCUCAUCAGCUUUUCCUAGUUUCCAAAGGGCAUUUAAUUUCUGGUGUAAACCUACUCAGUUCCAGCAGGGUUCUUGAGCUGCAUUUAUGUAGACAUUGAAAGAAAGCAGUGACACAGACCAUGCACCAUCCUUGUGGUCUUCACUUGCCCGACAUAGCAGAAUUCAUGUUUUUUCAAGGAAGUAUUCUGUGCAGUUCCACACAGCUGUAUCACUGAACUUUGUCUCCUGUUCUUAAAAAAUAAGUCACUAUAAACUACUGUUGCAGUGCUUUUUUUCCUUUUUUUCUUUUACUGAUAAUUCUAAUCCCUAGCCUGCAGACAUUGUUAAACUUCUAGUAAAGGAGUGCAACAUCUCUGCCAGCAAUUUUUCUUAAGCUCAGAGAAAAUAAUUCAAUACUUCCUAUUCUCAUGGCACUGGAUACUGCAUUUGGUGGGGAAAACUACACUCUCAGAAAUAUUUCCAUCAUACGUAUUUUUGUAUUUACCUUCAGCUUAGCAUAAUAAAUACCUCAGCAGGGGUGGCUUUUCAAUUUCAGAGAGAAAACAUAAGUGGACCAGAUAUUGCAUUACAAAAUAACUAGAAAAGACAGUUUGUGUGCAUGUAAGUUGUUUCUCUGCUUAACCUUAUCUAGUGUAAACAGUUUUCCAGUACAAGAUUUGGGGGGUUUGUAUGUAGUUUACAUUCCCAUAAUGCAUAUCCCAAGAUUUCCUUAGCAUGUGCAAAGGAUGACAAAUAUCAGUACUUCAUACAACUAUAUUUAAUAAGUUAUUACAGAAAAAAAUAAAGUCCAAACUACAAAGUUUAAGCAGUUGUAAGCAAUAGCAGCAUUGAGCUCCAUGUUUAGUCACAGUACUGCAGUUCCAUACAAGCAUUAGUCCAAGCCAAAAAGGAAGAAGCCUUGUUAGAAUUACUAGCAAAAACAAUCUAGGAGAACAUGUAAUAAAAGAUACAGUACAUUUAAAAUUAGUUGAAAAACAAGUACAGAGAUCUUAGCUGUGAAUGUUCUAAAAGUUAUGUCCAUUAGUUUGACAGUAAAAUUACAAAUAUCUAAUACUUUAUACCCCAACAGAACUAUAUCCAGGAAAGAAAAAAGAGCAAAAUUAUCUCUUAUUAGCACCCUGGUUUUCCACUUACUGAUGAACUUUUUCUCAUGUAAAUUUGAGUGUGUCAGAAUUACGUGACCAAUGUGAUUUCUGACCAGCUACCCAUUUGGGGUAUAGAGUAAUCACUAACAUGAAUAUAAAAUACUCUGUGGUAUGAUAGAACACUAUAGCAGCAGAGAUUAAGAAGUUUGU